GGUCAGCGGCGGACGGGUGAGUAACACGUGGGCAACCUGCCCGCAAGACCGGGAUAACUCCGGGAAACCGGAGCUAAUACCGGAUAACACCGAAGACCGCAUGGUCUUUGGUUGAAAGGCGGCCUUUGGCUGUCACUUGCGGAUGGGCCCGCGGCGCAUUAGCUAGUUGGUGAGGUAACGGCUCACCAAGGCGACGAUGCGUAGCCGGCCUGAGAGGGUGACCGGCCACACUGGGACUGACACACGGCCCAGACUCCUACGGGAGGCAGCAGUAGGGAAUCUUCCGCAAUGGGCGAAAGCCUGACGGAGCGACGCCGCGUGAGCGAAGAAGGCCUUCGGGUCGUAAAGCUCUGUUGUGAGGGACGAAGGAGCGCCGUUCGAAGAGGGCGGCGCGGUGACGGUACCUCACGAGGAAGCCCCGGCUAACUACGUGCCAGCAGCCGCGGUAAUACGUAGGGGGCGAGCGUUGUCCGGAAUUAUUGGGCGUAAAGCGCGCGCAGGCGGUCCCUUAAGUCUGAUGUGAAAGCCCACGGCUCAACCGUGGAGGGUCAUUGGAAACUGGGGGACUUGAGUGCAGGAGAGGAGAGCGGAAUUCCACGUGUAGCGGUGAAAUGCGUAGAGAUGUGGAGGAACACCAGUGGCGAA
rnacentral:rRNA from 1 species